UACAGAGGUCUCAAGCGUUGUUCGGAUUCAUUGGGCGUAAAGGGGUGCGUAGGCGGCGCGGUAAGUCGGGGUGUGAAAUCUCGGAGCUUAACUUCGAAACUGCAUUCGAUACUGCCGUGCUUGAGGACUGGAGAGGAGACUGGAAUUUACGGUGUAGCGGUGAAAUGCGUAGAUAUCGUAAGGAAGACCAGUGGCGAAGGCGGGUCUCUGGACAGUUCCUGACGCUGAGGCACGAAGGUCAGGGGAGCAAACGGG
rnacentral:rRNA from 1 species